CAGUCUGGUGCAACUCUGGCAGCGCCGCCGCUAGCUUAGUUUAGCGUAGUGAAUGGAAUCGUUUGUUGCCAGUUAGCAUGUUGUGAGUAAAAGUGAGCCAACAACAACAAAAAACAAC